GGGAUAGGGAGCGAUCUCCCAGUGAGGCAGCAAAAUGGACGCGGGAUUCUUCCGCGGAACAAGUGCGGAGCAGGAUAAUAGGUUCAGCAACAAACAGAAGAAACUACUGAAGCAGCUGAAAUUUGCAGAAUGCCUAGAAAAAAAGGUGGACACGAGCAAAGUGAAUUUGGAGGUUAUAAAGCCUUGGAUAACAAAGCGAGUAACAGAAAUCCUUGGGUUUGAAGAUGAUGUUGUGAUUGAGUUUAUUUUCAACCAGCUGGAAGUGAAGAAUCCAGACUCCAAAAUGAUGCGGAUCAACUUGACUGGGUUUUUGAAUGGAAAAAAUGCUAGAGAAUUUAUGGGAGAACUGUGGCCCCUGCUGCUAAGUGCACAAGAAAAUAUCGCGGGAAUCCCUUCUGCUUUCCUAGAACUGAAGAAAGAAGAAAUAAAACAGAGACAGAUUGAACAAGAAAAAUUAGCAUCUAUGAAAAAGCAAGAUGAAGACAAAGAUAAGAGGGAUAAAGAAGAAAAAGAAAGCAGCAGAGAAAAAAGGGAGAGAUCUCGAAGCCCAAGAAGACGCAAAUCCAGAUCUCCUUCCCCUAGAAGACGAUCUUCCCCUGUCAGGAGAGAGAGAAAGCGCAGUCAUUCUCCAUCUCCCCGUCACAGAACCAAGAGCCGGAGUCCUUCCCCUGCUCCAGAAAAGAAGGAAAAAACUCCAGAGCUCCCAGAACCUUCAGUACAAGAGGCCACUUCUACUAGUGACAUCCUGAAGGUUCCCAAGCCUGAACCUAUACCAGAGCCUAAAGAACCUUCUCCAGAAAAAAAUUCCAAAAAAGAGAAGGAAAAGGAGAAGACUCGUCCAAGAUCUCGGUCACGUUCCAAAUCAAGAUCGCGGACAAGGUCUCGCUUUCCAUCUCAUAUGCGACCUAGACAGCGCCAUAGAGAUCAAGAUCUUACCUAGAAGGCGGCCAAGCCCAAAAAGACGCCCAUCUCCUCGAAGAAGAACUCCACCUAGGCGAAUGCCUCCUCCACCAAGGCAUAGAAGGAGUAGAUCUCCAGUGAGACGAAGAAGGCGUUCAUCAGCAUCCUUAUCUGGGAGUAGCUCAUCAUCCUCUUCAUCUCGUUCACGGUCACGCCAAAGAAGCCACCCAAGAGGACAUCCAGCCCACCUUGAAAAACUCCUAGGUUAUCUCCUUCAGCAAGUCCUCCAAGGCGAAGGCAUAGGCCAUUACCUCCUGCAACUCCACCACCAAAAACUCGGCAUUCCCCAACACCCCAGCAAUCAAAUCAUACAAGAAAAAGUCGUGUUCCUGUGUCUCUGGGGAGAACUUCAGGUAAAGUGACAAAACAUAAAGGUACUGAGAAAAGAGAGUCCCCUUCACCAGCUCUGAAGCCUAGAAAAGCAGUUAUCUGAAUCAGAAGAAGAUAAAGGUGGCAAAAUGGCUGCAGCAGAUUCUGUGCAGCAAAGAGGCCAGUACAGACGAUAGAACCAGCAGUCUUCAUCUGAUUCUGGCUCCUCCUCCUCCUCAGAAGAUGAAAGACCUAAGAGAUCCCAUGUGAAAAAUGGUGAGGUAGGCAGGCGGCAGAGACAUUCCCCUUCCCGGAGUGCGUCUCCGUCUCCAAGAAAGCGCCAAAAAGAGACUUCUCGUGGUAGACGGAGAAGUCCCUCCCCACCACCUACUAGAAGGCGAGGUUCACCUUCUCCUGCCCCUCCUCCUCCAAGACGCAGAUCUCCUACACCACCACCACGACGAAGGACUCCUCCUCCUCCCCCACGUCGGUGCUCAUCUUCUCCUAGAAGACACUCUCCUCCAAUACAGAGGAGAUACUCUCCUUCUCCACCUCCAAAGAGAAGAACAGCUUCUCCUCCUCCCCCUCCUAAACGAAGGGCAUCACCAUCUCCACCACCAAAGCGUCGGGUCUCUCACUCUCCACCUCCCAAACAAAGAAGUUCCCCAGUCACCAAGAGAUGAUCACCUUCAUUAUCAUCAAAGCAUAGGAAAGGAUCUUCCCCAAGCCGCUCUACACCGGAGGCCCUGUCACCACAACCAAACAAACGGCAUUCGCUUCACCGCGGCCUCGAGCUCCUCAGACCUCCUCAAGUCCUCUACCUGUUCGAAGAGGAGCAUCACCAUCACCCCAAAGAAGGCAGUCCCCAUCUCCAAGUACUAGGCCCCUUAGGAGAGUCUCCAGGACUCCGGAACCUAAAAGGACAAAAAAGGCUGCCUCACCAAGCCCACAGUCCAUAAGGAGGGUCUCAUCCUCCCGGUCUAUCUCCAGAUCUCCUGAGCCAGCAGUUAAAAAGUCCCUAGCACCUACAUCCCCUGUCCAGGCUCAGUCACCUUCUACAAACUGGUCACCAGCUGUACGGAUCAAAAAGGCUAAAAGCCCGUCGCCAAGCCCAUCACCGGCAAGAAAUUCAGAUCAAGAAGGAGGUGGGAAGAAAAAAAAGAAAAAGAAGGACAAGAAACACAAAAAGGAUAAAAAGCACAAGAGCACAAAAAACACAAGAAGGAAAAGGCUAUGGCUGCAGCUGCUACAGCUCCCAUAACCUCUGCAGCCAUUGCUGCUGCCACAACCACAUCAGCACCAGAAGAACCAGAGACAGCACCAGAGCCUAAGAAGGAGACUGAAAGUGAAGCUGAAGAUAACCUCGAUGACUUAGAAAAGCACCUGUGUGAAAAGGCCCUGAGAUCAAUGCGGAAGGCUCAAGUGUCCCCAUAGUCUUAGGUGGAAAUGUUUCUUAUGAUGUAAAUUUUAUUUGGUUUGUACAGCAAUUCAAUUUCAAAAUUGCUAAAAUGUGUUUGAGCUUUAGACUAUAACAUUUUUUGUAAUAAUUGCUAGGUUGAAGUUCACCAUGUUAAAAAAAAAAGGGGGGGGGCAUGGAUUUACAUUGCAAAAGGUGUCCACAGUGUAUUAGUGACAUUCUUUCAUUGACAGCUGACAUAAAUUCAUUUAGAGGGAAAUAUUUUAAGCCAAAAAAAAAUUCCCUUUUUAAAAAAGGGAGUUUAGAGGCGGAGCAAGA